rnacentral:rRNA from 1 species
GACGAACGCUGGCGGCGCACCUAACACAUGCAAGUCGAACGAGCGAGAGAGAGCUUGCUUUCUCGAGCGAGUGGCGAACGGGUGAGUAACGCGUGAGGAACCUGCCUCAAAGAGGGGGACAACAGUUGGAAACGACUGCUAAUACCGCAUAAGCCCACGGGUCGGCAUCGACCAGAGGGAAAAGGAGCAAUCCGCUUUGAGAUGGCCUCGCGUCCGAUUAGCUAGUUGGGGAGGUAACGGCCCACCAAGGCGACGAUGGGUAGCCGGACUGAGAGGUUGAACGGCCACAUUGGGACUGAGACACGGCCCAGACUCCUACGGGAGGCAGCAGUGGGGAAUAUUGCACAAUGGGGGAAACCCUGAUGCAGCGACGCCGCGUGGAGGAAGAAGGUCUUCGGAUUGUAAACUCCUGUUGUUGAGGAAGAUAAUGACGGUACUCAACAAGGAAGUGACGGCUAACUACGUGCCAGCAGCCGCCGUAA